ensembl:lncRNA
UGAACAUCGGCUCAGAGACGACCGGGACUAGAGGCCCGGCGGUGGGGGGUGGGCGAGCCUUGGGGAACCCCCCCCCCGACCUCGAGAUGACUGUCAACGGUUCCCUAAGCCCGGAGGUCAGUCGCUAUCUGGCGACCGUUUCGGGAACUUUUUCGGAGACCUCCGGUGUCUUCCUCAUGAGCGAGACCGACGAAGGACAGGGCUCCUCCUCACCAGGGAGGCUCACUCACUGCCAGCCGCGGACUGAGGAAGAGGAAGGGUUUCUGACGUUCCCUCGUACGGGAGCGUCGGGAAUGACGAACGCCGUCAAUACAGAGUGAGGCGGGAAGCCGUGAGGAAACGGAACCAACUAAAACUAGGAGCACAAACUGACCCUGGUACACUGAGGCGGGACUUCCUGUCACAUGCAGGCAGCACUUCCUGUCCCAGGAAGGCGGGAGCACUGGAACUCCGUCCGAUCAUACUGGAUUUUCCUCUUUUUUUACCUGUGUGUCGUGCUGUGGGACUACUUUCCUAUCUAAUAUGUGAAUCCAUCUCCUGUUUCUAUGGCAACUGUGAUACUGUGAUGAGCUUGGUCAAACCACUGGUGAUCAACUACUGGUCGACUUUUGACUGGUCGAGAAAAACUGGUACACAAUAACUAGUACACUACUACUCGUAAUCCACUGCUGGUAACACUGAUGAACUAUUGGUAUGCAACAAAAAAAUGCUUGUUCACAAUAACCGUAGGAGGAGCUACAACAGCUGUACUGACCAAUAAGGUGCCAGUGGGAACUUCCAAAAUCAUAUUUUGAUCCACGAAAGCAACUGGUGGCACGGUGUCAAGUGAUGAGGCCGAUUGUCCGUUCUGGGCUACUGUAGAAAACAUGGCCGCCUCCGUGGAAGAGGACCCUCUCCAGAUGUAGAAAUGCAGGGCACCCUCUGCCCCUUUAACCACUACUGUUCAGAGAACCAAACCCGGAGACCCAGAUCAGCCAUUUUGUUCCAGAUCCUCUACGGUGCGCCCGACCCACUCUCUCUGAGCGACUAUAUAUAUAUAUAUACACGAGGGAGAACCUCCUCUUUUUAUAGAUCAACUCCGGUUCCAUUGAGUAUCACUCCUCCCUGUUGGCUGCGGGCCACUGGACCGUACUGGUUCGUAAUUAGACGAACAUAAGGUAUCUCUCCGACAGAGGACAAUUAAGGCGGGAAAUGGCCGGCUCUGGGGCAUAGCACAGAGGAAGGCGUUGUGCAUGAGAAAUACAAAAUGGUGGCCGCAGACGGCCUGUACAGGCUUAGAG